UUGAUUCACCAGACUUGAGCUUGUUUUUUGAACAAUGCAGGAUGUCUCCCUCAAUUAUGAAAAUGUUAAUUUUGUAUCAUUCAAAAUUGUGAGGUGUCAUUUCAAGGCGGACACCCAGAACUUCGGCAGACUUUAUUUUUAAAAGUAUAUUUAUUCCAAUAAAUCAAUUUAUUUUUAUUUUUAGAGUUUUUGAGUUAUCUAUAAGUAAAAAGUGUGAAUAUUUUCGUAACUUACUUUUUUAUGUGAUAAAAUUAAUUUUAUUGGACUUCCAACAUAAAUUGAUUUAGCAAAACUCAGUUCAAAGGUUUAAAUCAGACCUAAAACGUCAGGACCCGCCCACGUACCUGCAUGCAGCUGUGGAAGAACAAGCCCAGACACGUUUCUUCACGGAGCCCAAUAGGAAAACACUUUACCGAACUCAUGUUUAGGGUCUUCUAGGCGCGAUGCGAGACGUCACAAGCGGGCUAACGUUGAGCCAAACAGCAGCUUCGAGGCACGGGCGGAAAUGAGAAGGAGUUUGGCCCCCAGUCAGGUCGCCAAACGGAAGCAAGGGGAGGAUGAUCAUCGAGACGAAAUAUAGUAUAUUAACCACGAGCGGUUCUCGAGAGAAGAUGAAUGGAGAAAAUUGGGACAGUGAUGAAGAAGUCCAAGUUCCAUGGCCACUCAACAAAGCAGGAGGAAGGAAGCAGUCACAAACCAAAUACGUGGCAAGAAUUCUGAGAUUUGGUGAAGACACACGUGAACUGACGCCAUAUUUGAAAGCCGCUCAGGAUGGCAAGGAUGUACCCCUUACUGGUGAUUUGGAAUAUGGCAGAGGCAAGAGAAACAAACAGCCAAAGUCUUGGUCAUCAGACCGUGAGAGCAAGGAUGAAAGUGUUGAGGAGACUCUAUCUGACAGACAGCAGAAGAAAAAGAGGAAAGUAAGCCGUACAGCUGUGGGAUAUGAUGCUCGGGCACAAUUGAAGGCCCAACUUGCUGCUCUGGGAAGAACUUCACCGAAAGAUACAUGUACAGAAAUGGAAUCCCUGAAGAAGGAAGUCCUCCAGUUGAGAGAGGAAAACAAAUCCCUUCGAGAUGCAUUGAGGGUUGUUGAAGGACUUCCUGGCCUGCUAAUGAAGAUGGACGACUUAUCACGUCAGGCAACAAUACUAUCAGCUCGACGUCCUGCUGUCGCUCUGCCAGAGAGGAGCUGGCCAACAGCAGCUUGACAGGAAAAAAAUCCAAUGCUUUUAAGGAUAAGCAUGAGAAACCAAAACUGGAUGACAAGAAAGUGUCUGCUAUUAUUGAUUUUGUGAAGAAGCUCCAUCCCUCAAGU